CGAAGUUCUGGCUUUUCCCUCUACAGGGCAGGGACGUUUUAGGGGGAGCUAUUUUUAUUUUGAGUCACUGAAUCACCCUGAGCGCAAGCACCCUCUACUUCAGCCAGGCUGGAAUGUGGACAUGAUGAUGGAAGCUGGAGCAGCCAUUUUGAACCCAAAAAUGUAAGCCUUGUGUUAAAGAUAGCAGAGCAACUACCUAGAAGGAGCCUGGGUCCCUGACAUGGUGAAGCCACCUUAGUCCUGGAUUGCUUAACUCAGACUUUUAUAAUUCUGCCCAGGAUACCACAUUACCAGUUUUGCUUCAUCAGAUCAAGCCCACCACAGCCCGUAGAAUCCCCAAGCACUGCCAGGCACCUUCUUUCUUAUAAAAUCAUGGACUGCUUCCAAAGCUGCCUCCUGUGUGUAACACAGAGGGAUAUUUGCAGAGAUUCUUGCUCCUCUCUGCAGAAUCAAGGAAUAUUUGCUGGAACCCUUCAUCUGUGUAAAAUCUUGGAAUAUGUCUGAACCCUCCUCAUCUGUGUAUAAAAUCGUGGGAUAUUUGCAGAAUACUCUCUUGUGUGUAAGGAGCCCUGGUGGUGCAAUGGUUAAGUACUCAGCUGCUAAGGGAAAAGUUCACAAUUUGAAUCUACCCUGCGGCUCUGGCGAUUUGUUUUGUAAAGAUUGUUGUUUUUAGGUACUGUUGAACAGGUUCCAACUCUUAGCGACCCUACAUACAACAGAACAAAACACCACCUGGUCCUGUGCCAUCCUCACAAUUGUUGUUAUGCUUAACCCCAUUGUUGCAGCCACUUUGUCAAUCCAUCUAGUUGAAGUCUUCCUCUUUUUUACUGACCUUUUACUUUUUUUUUUUACUUUACCAAGCGUGAAGUCCUUCUCCAGGGACUGGUCCCUCCUGAUAACAGGUCCAAAGUAUGUGAGAUAAAAAGACGAAAAGGAUUCAUAAAGAUUACAGCCUAGAAAACCCUAUGGGGGCAGUUGUACUCUCUCACAUGGGGUUGCUAUGAGUCAAAAUCCACUUGAUUGCACCCAACAACAACAUCUUGUGUAUAAAAUCAUGGCCUGUUUGCAGAAUCCCCUCCUCUGUGUAUAAUCAACGAAUGUUUGCAGAACACCCUCCUACCUGUACCAUAGUUAACUAUGGACAGAGUUCUCUACUAUGUUUGGGAUCAUGGAAUCUUUACUGAGCACCCCUGUUCUAUUUAGAAUCAGGGAAAUGAAUACCCUCCUCUGUGAAGAACCAGUAAUUGUUUGCGGUUGUAGAAUCAUCAACUGUUUGAAAGCACAUUAUAAAAUCAAGAAGUAUCUACACAGACCAUUUCUAUCUCUAGAAUGAUGUAAUAUUAGUAAAGCCUCCUCUUAGGUAUAAAAUUAUGAAAUAUUUACAGAGCACUCUCCAUGUAUAGAAUUUUGGGUUGUUUGAACAACUUUUCCUUCCUGCGUAUAGAAUUAUGAACCGUUUUUGAGGAAUACCCUCAUGUAUAUAGAAUCGUGAAAUGUUUGCAGAGCCCCUUUUGGUGGCUUGAAUUCUGUGCUGUUUGCUGAACAUCUGCCUGUGUAUAGAAUCAUUAAAUGUUUGCAGAAUCUCUUCUCUGCUUAGCAUUAUGGGGUGUCUGCAGUGUUUCCCCAUCUGUAUAGAAUCAAGGAAUGUUAGCUGAACCUCCUUCUGUGUAGAAUCAUGAAAUGUUACUGGGCGCAUUCCUCAGUAUCAAACUUUGAAAUGUUUCUUCAACAUCUGCGCUUAUGUAACACGUAAGAGAAGGGAAUGGAAGGAACCGUGGCCAGAUUGUGGAGGGUCUUCAAGGCUGUCUUAGUUAUCUAGUGCUGCUAUAACAGAAAUACCACAAUCAGCUGGCUUUAACAAAAAGAAAUUUAUUCACUCACAGUAAAGUAGGCUAAAAGUCCAAAUUCAGGGCGUCAGCUCCAGGGAAAAGGCUUUCUCUCUCUAUUGGCUCUGGAGGAAGGUCCUUCUCAUCAAUCUUCCCCUGGACCAGGAACUUAUCCACGCAGGAACCCUGAGUCCAAAGGAUGCGCUUUGCUCCUGCCACUGCUUUCUUGGUGGUAUGAGGUCCCCCUGUCUCUCUGCUCGUUUCUGUCUUUUUUAUAUCCCAAAAGAAACUGGCUGAAGACACAGUCCAAUCCUGUAGAUUGAGUCCUGCCUUGUUAACACAACUGCUGCCCAUCUCCCCUCAUUAACAUCAGAGACAGGGUUUACAACACAUAGGAAAAUCAUAUUAGAUGACAAAAUGGUAAACAAUCACAUGACACCAGGAAUUACAGCCCAGCUAAACUGAAACACACAUUUUUGGGGGACACAAUCCAUGACAAAGCUCAAGUGAAGUUAGGCUUUGUUCUGUAGGCUACAGGAGCCACCAAAGGUUUGUGGGUGGAAGAGUAACAUGAUGAAAAUUGUUUUAGAAACCCUAAUCUGGUGAGCGAUAUAGAUUGGAUAGACUGAAGGGUGAUGCUUUGUAAAAAUAUUAUUUUCAAAACAAAGCAAAAAUCAAGGUACCGACUGACUUUACUAAUCUAUAGUAGAUUAGUAAUCUGCUGUGUUUGUUGUUGUCAGCUGCCUUUGAGUCAGCCCCUGACUCAUGGCAGCCCCUGCACGACAGAAGGAAAUGCUGUCCAGUUCUGCCUCAUCCCCUUGAUCAGCUGCAGACUGGACUCUUGUGCUCCACAGGGUUUUCAUUGACUGAUUUUUGGAAGUAGUUCCCCAAGGCCUUUCUUCCUAGUCUGUUUUAGCCUGGAAGCUAUGCUGCAACCUGUCCACCUUCCAAGAUACAAGCUCCCACUGACAGACAGGUGGUGGCUAUGUGUGAGGUGCGUUAGCUGUGAAUUGAGCCAGGGUCUCCUGCAUGGAAGGCAGGACUUUAUAGUAAAUAACUUCCAUAACAUGAAGAUUCAUUCUCUAGAGCAGGGGCCAGCAAACUACAACCCAUAGACCAAAUCUAGCCCAUUGUUUGUCUUUAUAAAGUUUUAUUAAAACAGGUCGUGUCCAUUUGUUUAAAUGUUGUCUAUGGCUGCUUUUGGGCUACAAUGGGAGAGUUAAGUAUUGUGACAGAUUGUACGGCCAACAAAGCCAAAAAUAUUUACUUUCUGGUCCUUUACAGACAAAGUUUGCCUUCCCCUGCUCUAGUGAGAAAAAAUUAAUUUUUAAAAAUGUUUGGAUUUUAUUUUUUGUUUUCUCACAGCAGACUCAACUGAAUUAAUAAAUAGUUUCAUUCAUUCAACUAAUAUUUACUAAGCAUCUACCGUGUGUCAGGCCUUGAUUUAGGCUCUGAGGAUAAAAAGAGACAGCGCUUGUCCUCAAGUAAAUUUGUAAUCUAUCCGUAAUUGUCAAAUAAAUCACGAGGAACCUUGGGCAAGAUUUGUGUAGCCUUGGGCAAGUUUCUUAAUCAUUCUAGGUUUCAGUUUCCUCAUCUGUAGAUGAAAGUGAGAAUGAUAAUAGUAUCUAUGUCAAGGUGUUAUUGUAAGGAUUAAGCAAGUGACUAUAAAGUUCUUAGAAUAGUGUCUGAAACAGAGUAAGUGCUGUUAGGUGCUUGUUUAAAUACAUUGUAUGACUAAUACAUACAUACACAUGCGUACACAUACAUGUAAAUCAGUGUGACAGCUGUACUAAUAAAGGUGUCUACUGUAUUCUACAUAGGACAAUUUUAUCAUUCAGGAUUUAGUUCAGGAAAUAGAAACCACUCUAGCCAUUUUAGGCGGAAAGGCAUUUGAUACAGGGACUUAGAUGCAUACAAAAUCAUCAGAAGGGCUGGGAGAGUGGAAGCUGGGGGGCUAUUUUUGGACUUUUGAUUUCAAGGGUCCUCUACUCUGGCCAUGCUUCAGAAGUCAUCAAACUGCUGCUGCUCCUGCCAUCACCGUUGCCACCACCUGACUGCCCAGGGGCAGAUUAUUCAAUUAGCACGGUAGCACGGGUUUCACUUCGAUGUGGGGUGGUGAAGCCCAUGUGACCUUGUUCACUGCAGAUUAGUAAAUAAGCACAAGUAAGCCCGUGCUUACCUUCCUUACAGGAUAAUCCGCCCAGUGACUGCUCCACACCCUCCGAACUGGGUGGUAGGCAGUGAACUCCACUGCACAUAUUCCUCCUAGUGCCAGAGCUGGCUGUCAGCUGCCCCAGCUGCAGGAAGAGGACCUCUGCCUCCUUCCACCCUUCAGAUCUCAAGCGAGUGCAUGUAGCUGACAGAACUUAAUGUACCACUGGUUUGCAAUGACCAGCACCCAUUCUAAUUUUUUUGAGUGACUGCACCUUGAUUUCCCUUUGGGGAACUUCCACUCCCCACUAUUAGCCCAUGUGGUUCAUGUGAAGCUGAUCUUGUCCCAGGCUCCAAGGGUGGGCAUGUGAGCAGGUCUGGCUAGUCAGCACACUCCAUUCCUUCAGAAACAAUGAUGGGUUCAUGGAUGGACACAUGCCUGAAGCCAGGCCAACGAAACUGAUUAUAAAAGCUGUUUUUCGACUGAGAAUUACUUAGCUGUGGGGAUGGAAGCCUGGAGCAACUGUGGACCCUCUGGUGAUAGGUAUGGGGGAAUGUGAGCCUGAUAAAGUAGAGCUAAAAUAUGGAGAGACAUUGAAUGCUGAUGAUAUCACAUGAGCCACUGGAUCCAGCUGUGGCUGAAGCCACAUUGUCUGCUUCAGGCUAUUAUAGUCAGUAGAGCCAAUAAAUUCCCUUUUUGCUUAAGCCAGUUUCAGUUGAAAGUUAUGACUAAUACAGUAUGACAAAAGGGUAGUUUACUAGUAUGAGAGCCACUGUACUAAAGAAACCCAGAGGCCUGGUAAUCUACUUCUGAAAAAAGUCAGCCAUUGAAAAACCUAUGAAAUACAGUUCUAUGCUGACACAUGGGAUUGCCAUGGUUGGAAUCAACCAAUCAGCUGGUUGGUUCUUGAUAGGGGAAUGGCAAGGUUCUAGCAGAACUCUUGUUGAGGCUGUCUUCAGAAAAUACAUUCUUCUUUAGAUGUUCAUUGCAGCAGUGUUUGUACAGGUCCACAAUCCCUUAUCCAAACCCACUGGGGCUAGAAGUGUUUUGAAAUUUAGAAAUUCUCAGAAUUUUGAAAGGUGCAUGCACUGAUAUUAUAUAACAUCCUUGAGAGUGUUGUGUCAGCGUUCCAUAAGCAGAGAACUUAGUGUUUUCUCAAUGGAGCAUAUGAAUAUUCACAGUAAAUGGGAUGUAAAAUUAUAAAUAUAUCUAUUCAAGUCAGGUUUUGCCACUAAGUAUUUUCAGGUUAGGUUAGGUCUUGUUGCCAAAUUUUGACAAAGAUUUUGGUUUUUUGUUUUCCUUUCAUUUUGAAUUGUGGCUAAAGGAUUAUGGACCAGUAAUAGCAAAAAAUUGGAAAUGAGCUAAAAAGACCUCAUUGGGAAAAUGGAUUUUUAAAAGGGUGGGAUAGUGAUAUGAUGAAAUGCAAUAGAGCAGUGAAAAUGAAUAAACGAGCUACAUGUAUCAUUACGGAUACAUCUUAGAAAAAAUAAGGUAGAAAGAAAGCUCACUGCAAAGGAAUAUAUUCAUUAUCAGUUAGGCUAGGCCAGGUUAUGCUGUAGUAACAAAAAGCCUUAAAUCUCAGAGCCUUAAAACAAAGUUUUGUUUUGUUUUUCAUUCAUGCUACAUGUUCAUCACAGGCAAGUGAGGAAGGCUUAACUUUAAGUCCCUGUCCUUCUCAGUCUGGAACUCAGCUGGUGGGGCAGCCACUCUGCAGAAGAUUGUUAUUGUGGUAGAGGGAAAAGGGUGGUGAAGAACAUCCACGAAAAAAAGGGGAAAAAAAGCCAAAUCUGCUGUUGUCAAGUCAAUUAUGACUCAUAGCAACCCUACAGAACAAAGUAGAACUGUAAAGGCUGUAAAUCCAUGGAAGCAGACUGCCACAUCUUUCUCCUGCGGAGCGACUGGUAGGUUUGAACCCCCAACCUUUCAGUUAGCAGCCAAGCAUUUAACCACUGUGCCACCAGGGCUCCUGGUGAAGGACAUACUGGCUCUUAAUGCUGCUGCUCUGAGCCUCAGUUCUCCCUGAGAGGGGCUGAUGAACCACUGCCUGGCCAGGGGUUACCAGGGUGACCCUUAUAGUCAGUGCCCCAUCAGCAGGAGUUCCUGGCACUGGAAGCAUUCAAUGCCACAACUCCUGGCACCUGCAGAGCAGUCCCACACAUGUAAAUGAUCUUUAUCAGUUCACCGGCUCUGGGCGCUUGAACUGAGAUAGUUGUUGCUCUGGGAUAUGAUCUCACUGCUGGCUAGGGAUUAGUGUUUAUGGAUUAUACAAUGGCUUCGUUGGGGUGGGGAAACCCUGGUGGUGUAGUGGUUAAGUGCUACGGCUGCUAACCAAAGGGUCGGCAGUUUGAAUCCACCAGGCGCUCCUUGGAAACUCCAUGGGGCAGUCCUAUCGGGUUGCUAUGGGUCGGAAUAGGGUUGCUAUAGGGUCACUAUGGGUCGGAAUUGACUCGACGGCACUGGGUUUGUUUGGUUUCCUUGGGGUGGGUGCCUGGAAUUUUCUCUGGUAGGACUUGGGGGGCCAGGGCAGGGCACAGUGUUCCUGUGAUUUUUUUUUUUCAUUUGGCUGUGGAUCUUUUUCUUUCUGCCUUUGCUUUGGGCCAGCCUGUAAGUGGGUGUUGACCAGCACAGGAGCCCAAUUUAUGUUCUCCUGAGAUCUCUCCUGGAGCCCUGGUUAUGCAGUGGUUAAGAGCUGGGUUGCUUAACCAAAAGGUCAGAAGUUUGAAUUUACCAGCCACUCCUUGGAAACCCUAUGGGGCAGGUCUGGUUUUGGUUUUGGAGAUCUGUCAUGGUACCUCCCUUUCUUUAGGCCGCUCCCCUGCUCUACAAGCUCCAGUGGCUCUCUAUGGCCCACAAGAAACAAUGUAAGAACUGCAACUUCUCCCUUUGGUUGGGUGCCUGCUACAUGCCAGGCAUUUUAUAGCACUAUCUUGAGCCCUGACAGCAACUCCAUGAAGUAGGGACUGUAUGAUCCCCAUUUUAUAGAUGUGGAAAUAGUGGCUGAGGGAUGCCGCGGUCACAGUCACAACCAAGUAGAACUGGUUAGUCACCAGAUCUGAUUGAUUCCGGAGCCACAGGGUCAGGUCCCCUCCAAUCUCACCCUUGGCUCUUCCUUGUAGGGACCACCUGCUCCAACCAAACUGGUCUCCUCUCACAGCCCCAGGAAGCCUGUCUCUAUGUUCCCUUCAAGACCAUCUUGAGUCUAAUGGGAUGCCUCCCCACACUGCCAGUCACACAAGACCCUCCUCACAUCCUAUGGAGUUGCUGACUUUCCUGUUGGUCCACCACAGGACCUCGAGAACUACCACUUACUCAUCUCUGCAUCUGCUGUGCCCAGCAUGUGCACGGUGCACAGCUGCCAUUCUCCCAGCUUUCCUUCAACACUUAUUGAGCACCUACUGGGUGCUGGGCACUAUGCACUGAGCACGGAUGUUCACUGCAGCAGUGUUUAUACAGGUCCAUAAUCCAUUUUCCAAACUGGAUAUCCAAAUGUGUAGCAGAGAAUGAAACAAAACUCUCACAAUCAUGGAGCUUAUGUUUUGCUACCAGGGACAGAAAAUAAGCAAAUAAACAAAUACAUGUAUAAUAUAAUAUUGUCAUUGUUGAUGCUGUCAAGUUGAUUUCAACUUAUAGCAGCCCCAUGUGGCAGAGUAGAACUGCCCCAUAGGGUUUCUAAGCUGUAAUCUUUAUGGAAGGAUCCCUGGUGGGCAAUGGUUAAGCACUUGGCUCUAACCCAAAGAUAGGUGGUUCUACUCCACCAGCCACUUGCUCAGUGAAAGAAAAGACUUGCCUAUCUGUUCUCUUAAAAAUUUUAGGCAUAGAAAACCCUAUGGGGCAGUUCUACUCUGUUCUACAGGUUCGCUAUGGGUCAGAAUCAACUAAUGGGCACACAACAAAAAUCUUUAGGGGAGCAGAUUGUCAGGUCUUUCUCUUGCUGAGCUGCUGGUGGGUUUGAACCGCCAACCUUUCGGUUAGCAGCAAGCGCUUAGCCUUUGGGCCACCAGGGCACCUUCACUAGGGAGUGAAAAAAUGGUAGGAAGAAAAAUAAAGUUGGCCGAGAGGAUGGGCAGCAGGGAGGAAAGCUCUCUGAGCAGAAACCUCAACGCAGUGCGCUUGGUUGACUGAGGAACUGAACAGUCAAAUGAAUGAAUAUUUGAGUAAAUUGGAAAACCUAACUUGAAGAUGAACAGGGAGUGCGGAGGGAGGAGUUUGAGGUAGGGACCUCUUGGACCCCUCUGAUCUUAGGACUUCUCAACGCUAGGAGGAAGUUACUCUUGUGAGUGCCAUUUUACCGAUGAGAAAAUGGAGGCCCACGGAAAUGAAGUGAGGGGCUUCAAAAGAUGCAUCCCAGACCGGUUAGGAAGCACCUUCCCCCUGGCUUUGAGAGCACCCAGCCUCCUGGUUUUCUUUCCUGCGUCUCCUUGGCAGAGUCACCCUUUUCUACUCUGCCAUGAAAAGCUGGACUUCCUCAAGGCUUCUCCUAGGCGUUCUCUUCUUCCAAGAGAGCCUACCCACAGAUGGUAUCAAGGCGUGGUUUUAAUCUGCAUUUUUCUGAAGACUAAUGAAAUCAUGCACCUUUUCCUAUGCUUAUUGGCCAUUUGGAUAUCUUGUUUUGUGAAAUACCUAUUCAAGUCUUUUGCUCGUUUUUUUCUUUUGGUUUGUCUUUUGCUUAUAAAUCUAUGAUUAAAAAAAUUCUGGGUAUGAGUUGUUUAUCAGCUCUAUAUUUCUAUUUCUUCUCCCACUUCGAGGCUUGUCUUUUCCCUUAAUGGUAGCUUUUAGUGAAGAGAAAUUCUAGUUUUAACAUAGUCCAACUGAACGAAUUUUUCUCUUUUGGUUGGUGUUUAUGCCCUCUUAGACAAAUCUUCGCCUACUCCAAGAGUGUGAAGAUAUUCUACGUUUUCUUCUGAAAACUUUUCACUUUAUCUUUCACGUGGAGAUUUACAUUCCAACUUGAAUUGAUUUUGUGUAUAGUGUGAGAUCGGAUAAAGAUUCUUUUUUUUUUCCCCACAUGGAAAUCCAGUUGGCCUAGCACUAGUUCAAUUAACAAAAUAAAACAAAGGGGGCAUUGAGCUUCUGUUAAGGGUGACAGAAUAAUUUGGGAGCAGAUAAUGGUGAUGGUUGAACAACAUGAUGAACAUAAUGUCUCUGAAAUGUACAUGCGAAGAUUGUUGAAAUGUCAAAUGUUUUGUUACAUAUAUAUUUACCACGAUAAAAAAAAAAUACCUUUUCUGCUUAAAGAGAAAAAAACGAAAAAAAAAAAAAAAACAUCGCGUGGUAGUAUAUGGGUGUUCAUUGUACUAUUUUUCAAGUUUUCUAGAGGUUAAAAGAUUUUCAAAUAAAAUGCUGGGAGAAAAUGAUGAACAAAAAAAAAGUAGGGGGACUGUUGUAGGUUAACAAAUACCAUGGAAGUAAUACCAUGUCCAUUUUGUAUGCAAUGUACAAACACUGAUUUUAUACUGUCAGAAAGACAUCCUUGAAACAAAUGGGCAAAACUUCAGAAUGGACUGAAUAUUGUAGGAUAUUAUGGUCUAAUUACUUAUUUUCUUAGGUGUGAUAAUAUCAUUGUGGUUACGUAGAAGAAUGUCAUUUUUCUUUGGAUUUGCUGCUGAUGUAUUGACACACAAAGCAACUUAUUUUUAAAAUAAUUCAGCAAAAAAUGUAAACAUGAAUAUAGAUAGAUAAAUCUGAAAAAUAACAAUUGCUGAAUCCUGUUAGAGAGUACAGGUAUUCCUUAUACUAUUCUAUCAAGUUUUCUGUAUGUUUAGAAAUGUUUAUGAAAGACAUUGGGGAGAGGGAACAUUGUAUGGUUCAAAUAAAAAGUAUUUUCAGGUCAGAUUAUCCUGGCUACCUGCAGAUUUCUGGUCCAGGGCCUCACCUGCACUAUCUCACAUAAUCUGCAUCACACCCCUAUGGGGUAGGCAACACUGGACCUAUUUCAGCCAGGACUGGCCGAGCCAACAUCUGAACCCACAUCUAACUGAGUCAAAAUUCUCUGCUUUUCUUUUUUGUUGUUUAAGCCUCUCCUCUCCCACCUCAUCUCCCAGGGUAUGAUGGGGAGGAUCAGGUGAGAGCAACGUGCAUUUACCAUGUGCUAGGCUUUGCAUGUAUUAUUUAAAUUCUCACAACAACUUUAUGCAGUUGUUACGAAUAAACAUUCUCCAUUUUAUGAAGGCACAGAGAGGUUAAGUAAUGUGCUUAAGACCACACAGCUAAGAAUGGAAGAACUGGGAGCUGGGGAACCUGGACAGCCUGGCUCUAGAGCCCCCUACUUAAGCUGUUAAACACACACACACACUUUAAAAAGUACAAAUCACUUUACAAAUAUAAAGUGGGCUUAUUGUUGGUUCUCACAGAAUCCCUGCAAAGUCCUCCCUUCUCCUUACUGCUUCCAACAUUCCAAGACGGCGUUCCAGGUAUUGAUAUGUCUGCAUGGGGGACCACUUGCCUCCCCAAUUCAGUUGGGAGCUCCUCAGAGCUGGGGGUGGGUCUAUUGUCCCCUUAUCAUGAAUCUCUGGUGACUACUCUCUGAGGCCCUCUGGCCUGAAGGUGAUCUCAAAGCACAGGCUCUGGAUAUCGGUCCCACUCAUAAGCGAUGGUGGUAGGACACCAAUUUGCCUGCAAGCUGAGCAUUAGGGUCCAGAUGGAAUGCAGA